rnacentral:pre_miRNA from 1 species
GUGUUACUCCCUCCGUCCGGAAAUACUUGUCAUUGAAAUAGAUGUAUCUAGAUGUAUUUUAGUUCUAGAUACAUCCAUUUUGAUGACAAGUAUUUUUGGACGGAGGAAGUAAGUU